rnacentral:misc_RNA from 1 species
GCUCACUUUCAAUAUUAUCCACAAUUACUUGAAAGUUUUCAGGGGCUUCAUAAGGUUCUGUACAAGAAUUCUGUACAUUCAAUUCAUCAUCUUCAAAAUCAUGAGAAUCACCAGAUAAUUUUUGGCUCUCNNNNNNNNAAUCAGAAUAUGAAGGCCCACUUUGAUGUCCUUUGGAGAGAGGCAAUCCAUUUACUGCCCCAUGGCCAUCACUUUGUCUCUCUAUUUGAGACCCUUCCCCAUUUA